UAUGUUUUUCAGAAAAGAAGAAGAACUAGAUGAGUUUGGAAAGCCACACAGUCCAAGGGUCUGAGUACAACUGUCCCUGGACAAUUUAAAGCAGGGACCAGCAGUAGGAUGCUACAUGGGCUCCAGAUGGACACUGCACUGGAUGGUCCAGAAAUGAGAACUCAACUUCUAAAACACCUACGUCCUCAGAUCAAGAAAUAUUUGCUGCUUCAAGAACCAAUCUUAAAAUCACCCUAAAAACUUUAAAGGGAAUAAAUCUACCCUCAAAGAAUGAAGACUUGCAGAUAAACUGAAAAAACAUGCCAAUAAUUUUAAGGAAGCACACCUCCUGAUGAUGUGUUCUAGGAAUACUAAGGGCUAUAAUUGAUGACUGUAGCCUCCUGCUAGGAAAUCUGGAAGAGAACACAUACCCCUCCUACAGCAUAUACUCAAGAACAUUCCCUUAAAGAGUAAAGUAAUACCUGACAUACUGCUUACUUCUGAGCCUCCCCUCUGUAUAAAUUUACA